UCCCCCCUAGAUUAAGCUAGGGUUGGGUAGGUUCCCUUGAAUCAAUCAAAAAAACAAAUCCAUGGCCCAACACACCCGAGGAGAAAUGUCCCCGGGAAUCUAGAUCCUCCUCCGUCCCCUCCGCCGUCUCUCCUCUCCGUCCCCUCCGCCGGACUUGGAAGCUUCUUGUAUGGUCACUUGCUCGACGCUGAUUGGUGGAAGAUAUUGCGGGGCUCAGAGGGCUUUAAAACUGGUCACGUGCUCGACGCUGAUUGGUGGAAGAGAGGGCGUGGCCGUGAGGUCUGAUAUUUCUCCAAGUACACUGCGAACGCGUGCCUGCUGUUUGUACAUUCUUGACCUGCGACGGAAUGGAGUGCAACAAGGAUGAGGCCCUUAGGGCGAAGCAAAUUGCAGAGAGGAAGUUUGAAUCCAAGGACCUGCAGGGUGCCAAGAAAUUCGCACUCAAGGCCAAGUCUCUCUUUCCGGAUCUUGAGGGCAUUAUGCAGCUGAUCAUCACCUUUGAUGUUUACCUUACCUCAGAACUGAAGGUUGCUGGUGAGAAUGACUAUUACUCUAUCCUCUCUGUCGACACGUCAGCAGAUGAUGAAACAGUGAAGAAGCAGUACAGGAAGUUGGCACUUCUACUCCAUCCUGACAAGAACAAAUCAGUGGGCGCUGAGGGUGCUUUCCAGUUGGUUAAAGAGGCAUGGACUGUGUUAUCUGAUAAAACCAAGAGACUGUUGUAUGAUCAAAAAAGGAAAGUAGUUGUACUACAACAGAAGACAGCCCAAUCAAAUAGGACAAGUGCAACUCAAGGUGCAACCAAUGGCUUCGAGAGUUUCGCAGCCAAAUCACCUGCUUUCAAGCCAAGAGCAAACAAGCCAAAGACAGGGUCAACAACAUCUGCAGCGCGCCAGCGCCCACCCCCACCCCCACAGCGCCCGCCUCCUCAUCAUCAGGCUCCUGCUCCUGCUCCACCUCCAGCAAUGAAGGACACAUUUUGGACCUCAUGCAACAAAUGCAAGAUGAAUUUUGAAUAUCUCAGAGUGUAUAUAAAUCAUACUCUUCUCUGCCCUAGCUGCCGCGACCCAUUCCUUGCAAAAGAGGUACCGGUGCCACCAACUGAGGAUGUUCAUGCAGGAAGGGGCUCAAACAUCAGUGGUGCACCUCAAGAUGCAAGCACUAGGAGAAAUUUUCAGUGGGGUCCAUUCUCAAGGGCAGCUGGUGCAGCCAGUGCUACUGCAUCAUCAUCUGCUGCUGCUCAAGCUGCUAAUGUGGUUCAUCAGACAUAUGAGAAAGUUAAGAGAGAGAGGGAGGAGGCACAAGCAGUAGCAAGAAGGGAAGAAGCUUUUCAGAGGAAGCACAAUCCUCUAAAAAGGCAAGCAGAUGUGUCAAUGAACCAUGGAAUGGGCGAUACUGCAUUUGGAAAGAAGAUGAGAACUGAUGCUGGAGUUGGUUCAUCCAUUCCCUCAGGUCCAUGGGCCCAAUUUGCUAGAAUGCCAGUUGGAACUAUACCAUUUUCAACCAACAGUGCCUUUGAGUUUCAGAUUGUUAAUGGUGUGCCCACUUGGAAGCCCAGGCCUGUUACUCGGCUCAGCGUAACUAAGAUUUUCUCUAAGUCAGAUCUUAAGAGAAUUUUGGUUGACAAGGUGAAGAGCGAUUUGAAGGAGAAGCUAAGUGAGAUACGAAGUAGGUCAAUCCAAGUUACUGUUGAUGGUCCAGCGAGCAAGAAAUAUGUUGAGGUUAGCAAAGCAACAGUUGAUUCUACUGCAAAGAAAGAUGUUUGUGUGGAUCCAGAGGAGAAUGGUUCUGCUAAUAGCAAUGGUUCUGAUGAUAGCACAGCUGCUGGAAAUGAAGAUGAGGACCCUAUGUCUUAUACUGUUCCUGAUCCUGAUUUCCAUGAUUUUGAUAAGGAUCGUACCGAGGAAUGUUUUCAGAGUGAUCAAAUUUGGGCUUCAUACGACGAUGAUGAUGGCAUGCCUCGUUUCUACACAUUUAUUCAGAAAGUUAUCUCCUUGAACCCGUUUAAGGUCAAAAUAAGUUACCUCGAGUCGAAGACGAAUAGUGAAUUUGGACCAUUGAGUUGGGUUUCUUCUGGCUUUGCAAAGACGUGUGGUGAUUUCAGGAUUGCCAAACAUGAAAUCUGUGAUGUGGUCAACAUGUUCUCUCACCAGAUUAAAUGGGAGAAAGGCCCACGUGGGAUGGUCAACGUUUACCCACGGGAAGGCGAUAUCUGGGCUUUGUACCGAAACUGGUCCCCUGAAUGGGAUGGAGAUACUCCAGAUAAUGUGCUGCAUGUCUAUGAUCUGGUUGAGGUACUGGAUGAUUAUGACGAAGAUCAUGGAAUCUCUGUAAUUCCCUUGGUUAAGGUCACUGGAUUUCGGACAGUUUUUCAGCGUCACCAGAACCGGAACGUCAUCAAGAGGAUUCCGAAAGAGGAGAUGUUUCGGUUUUCACAUCAGGUCCCCUUCUAUAGGUUGUCUGGGGAAGAAGCUCCAAACGUCCCCAAAGAUAGCUAUGAGGUAGACCCAGCUGCAAUUCCGAAGGAACUUCUUCAGGGGAUCACAGAAACAGCGGAGGAGGCAGAAGGAACUUCUAAAUCCAGUUGAAAUGGUUGAUGCUGCGACUCCGUUAUAUCUUUGUUGAUCUGCCCGCCGUUUUGCAUCAGAGAUUUGUUGGCACUAGCUAGUUUCUAUAGCGUUUCCUAGCUUCUAUACUUUUGACAGUUACCUUUGCAUACAAGGGCAGGUCUGGGAUUAGCCAUUCCUGUCUUGUAUGCCAUGUGUCUUGCCGUCUCAUCAAUGAAGCUCAUAAUCUUGCCUUUUUCUUCGCAGAGUUCAUUUCCAUUUGUCCUGGUGCUAACCGAACCCCGAGCGGCAGCAUUGUCUGGGCAUGUGAAGAAAGCUCUUUGCAGCGCAUCAUCCGUUUUGUCUUCAGCCCCUGCCUGUCUUGGUGGACCAGCGGCGGUGAAGGACACCGUGCUCGUCGGCGCCAUCUCCCGACGAUAUGGUCGAGGCAGCGGUAUCCCGACGGCAGGUUUUAUUUUUCUUCCCUCAAAAACCACGGGAGGAAUCCUCGUCAUUGUGCAUCGGAUCGCGCGUGUAUGUUUUUAAACAGGACCGUUGGAUCUUGUUUCGACGACGAAUCGAUGUUGGAUCUAUUCCGUCGUGUAAUGUAAAGCAUAUGAGAAUUUGUAUGUGCAAUCCUCAUGGUGCUGGAAUCUAUCUAUAGCAGCAAUCUAU